AUUGAACGCUGGCGGCAGGCCUAACACAUGCAAGUCGAGCGAGCGGCGGACGGGUGAGUAAUGUCUGGGAAACUGCCUGAUGGAGGGGGAUAACUACUGGAAACGGUAGCUAAUACCGCAUAUCACCAUAUGUGCUCAGAUGGGAUUAGCUAGUUGGGGGGGUAAUGGCUCACCUAGGCGACGAUCCCUAGCUGGUCUGAGAGGAGGACCAGCCACACUGGAACUGAGACACGGUCCAGACUCCUACGGGAGGCAGCAGUGGGGAAUAUUGCACAAUGGGCGAAAGCCUGAUGGAGCCAUGCCGCGUGUGUGAAGAAGGCCUUCGGGUUGUAAAGCACUGUCAGCGGGGAGGCGUUACCCGCAGAAGAAGCACCGGCUAACUCCGUGCCAGCAGCCGCGGUAAUUC
rnacentral:rRNA from 1 species